UACGUAGGGGGCAAGCGUUAUCCGGAAUUAUUGGGCGUAAAGAGCUCGUAGGCGGUUUGUCGCGUCUGCCGUGAAAGUCCGGGGCUCAACUCCGGAUCUGCGGUGGGUACGGGCAGACUAGAGUGUGGUAGGGGAGACUGGAAUUCCUGGUGUAGCGGUGAAAUGCGCAGAUAUCGGGAGGAACACCAAUGGCGAAGGCAGCUCGCUGGGACGUUACUGACGCUGAGACGCGAAAGCGUGGGGAGCAAACAGG
rnacentral:rRNA from 1 species